UGUUUUCAUUAUUAGAUAAGUGAAAUGAUUUUGAAACAUAGAAAAAUCUUAAUGAUCUAUUCAAAAUUUUUUCUUUUUCUUUUUUUUUUUUUUUUUGACAACAACUAAUACCAAAAUGUAAAGCCUGCUGGAUACUCUUUUCUUGGUAGAAGCAGCUUUCUUUUUACCUUCCAUUCCAUCUAUCGGCCAAUUUAUACCCUUGAAAACAUCAUUAUACUAACAUGCUGCAGAAUCAUUAAACAGACAGUAAUUUCCUCCCAUUUAGGCUAGCCAAUUGUGGAAAGCUUCAGAAGUGGAGAAAAACAUUUUUUUCCUCACUAAGUUACCCAGAAAGCCAAAUUUGACUGCUAACAAAGAGCUUUCAUUUGCUUGGCCCUACAUCAUGUUUCUAGGUCACUUACUGGAAGCUUCACCCAACUAACUGCUCUACUAGAAGCUCUGAAAGAGUCCAGGCACAGAAGCAUUGCUUCACUUGGAGCUUCUGUGGGGAAUCAGCUCUCCUCCCACCCAGCAAUUCCCUCUUGUGAUAGUUUCCUUCAGCUAUCAGAAAUGCAGGUUUCUAUUUGGCUUUAUUACUUUUCCAUUACAUUUCUCCUUUCUGCCAGUUUUUGGAGUUAAGUGAAAAAUACACUAUUCCAGAAAUUCAGAGGUGGAUGUGGAAAAACUAAGCAACGAAUUCAACGAGAUCAGUGUUUGACCAUCUGUUGCAGAAGUCAAUUAUUAUUAUUAUUUAACAUAGAGUAUUUUAUAUGUUUUCAUCAAGUGCUAGAUAUCAACAUGUGAUGUUGUCAACAGCUUGAGAAAAAGGGAGCAGGUGGCCUUCUGUGGACUUCAGUAUUGGAUGCAAGCAAACGUGAAAGUGAAAUGGAAUAGAAAGCAGCUUGUACACUGCUUCCAGUGGCAGAAGGAAGGCCUAAUCCAAAGUCCCCUAAAAUUACCAGAAGGGCCAACUUCUACCAGCCUCAGAGCCACCAAAAUUCUCUGCCAAUGGGAAAAGCCAGGCCUCUCAAGACAAUAAAUAUUAGUUUUUGCAUUUUCACAAAAAGCAAUCAAAAACACGAUGGGCCAGGGUAUUACUUGCUGUAGAAACUCCUCAAAAGAUGGAUUCUCUAUUUGAGCACCUAGUUUGAGUCCAUCAAAACAUGACCCAAAGGAAAGGAGUUGGGAUCAAGACAUACCCUUCUGUGGGUAAUGAUUUACAGCCAACAUCUACCUGCUGGAUCUGGUACUUGAAGCAAGUGUUCCUUGUUCCAUAGGCUUAGCAGGUGUUAGGAUUGACAUAAUUGAGCUAAGUCACUGUUAUCUUUAUUUACAUGCUUAAAUCCUUAAAUAGCAUUAUCAUUUUUGAAAUAGCUGUUUGUGAAACAAGCCACCAUCCCGACAAGUGUAACAGUGACGUGGUCUGGCUCACUGAAACCCACAGCAAAUUCUGAUGAUUUAAGCAGGAUAAGGAUGGAUAAGGACCAACACCACUCCUGGACAGAAAAAAUGCUCUGAACCUAUAGAGAUGGAACAGACUAAGGGGACAAAGACACUCCGACAACUUGCAGAGUAACAUACUACAGUCACAUCCAAGCAAAUCCACUAAGUUGUGGCCUGUAGCCUUUCAUCUACCACUCUAGGAUGGAUGUUUUAAUUCCAGCUUGCCCCAAUGAAAUCCAACCACUAUCUCAGCUUUGCAACCCAGCCAAAUAGGAGUCCUUGUGCCAUGGACUUGUCUGACACAAGCUAGAGCAGCUCCACUGACUUCAGCUAUAUUGCCUUCUGUAGAACUACACUAUUUUUUUUUUAAACACCAGUUGAGAUUCUGACCUUUUAAUUUUAAGAUCUGUUUAGUUUGCAUCAGUGAAUGGGUUAUCUCUAAUUAAAAUCAUUGCUGCGCUACAUAAUUACUCAGUAUAAUUUGAUGGCUGACUAAGACUAAUGAAAAAUUUGUCUCACUAACGGGUUGCACAAAGUUGAACUUUCCAGCAUUAAUCUUGGUAAAUUGAGAGGUAGUAAAGUGUGCCACGCAAGUA
rnacentral:lncRNA from 1 species